rnacentral:rRNA from 1 species
CAACCUUCAACAACGGAUAUCUUGGCUCUUGGAUCGAUGAAGAACGCAGCGAAAUGCGAUACGUAGUGUGAAUUGCAGAAAUACGUGAAUCAUCGAAUUUUUGAACGCAAAUUGCGCUCGAGGCUUCGGCCAAGAGCAUGUCUGCCUCAGCGUCGGGUUA